AGAGUUUGAUCCUGGCUCAGAACGAACGCUGGCGGCAGGCCUAACACAUGCAAGUCGAACGCGACCUUCGGGUCGAGUGGCGCACGGGUGAGUAACGCGUGGGAAUCUGCCCUGUGGUACGGAAUAACAUCGGGAAACUGGUGCUAAUACCGUAUAUCCCCUGAGGGGGAAAGAUUUAUCGCCAUGGGAGGAGCCCGCGUAGGAUUAGCUAGUUGGUGAGGUAACGGCUCACCAAGGCGACGAUCCUUAGCUGGUCUGAGAGGAUGAUCAGCCACACUGGGACUGAGACACGGCCCAGACUCCUACGGGAGGCAGCAGUGGGGAAUAUUGGACAAUGGGGGAAACCCUGAUCCAGCCAUGCCGCGUGUGUGAUGAAGGCCUUCGGGUUGUAAA
rnacentral:rRNA from 1 species